UCCGGGAAACCGGAGCUAAUACCGGAUAGUUCCUUGAACCGCAUGGUUCAAGGAUGAAAGACGGUUUCGGCUGUCACUUACAGAUGGACCCGCGGCGCAUUAGCUAGUUGGUGAGGUAACGGCUCACCAAGGCGACGAUGCGUAGCCGACCUGAGAGGGUGAUCGGCCACACUGGGACUGAGACACGGCCCAGACUCCUACGGGAGGCAGCAGUAGGGAAUCUUCCGCAAUGGACGAAAGUCUGACGGAGCAACGCCGCGUGAGUGAUGAAGGUUUUCGGAUCGUAAAGCUCUGUUGUUAGGGAAGAACAAGUGCAAGAGUAACUGCUUGCACCUUGACGGUACCUAACCAGAAAGCCACGGCUAACUACGUGCCAGCAGCCGCGGUAAUACGUAGGUGGCAAGCGUUGUCCGGAAUUAUUGGGCGUAAAGGGCUCGCAGGCGGUUUCUUAAGUCUGAUGUGAAAGCCCCCGGCUCAACCGGGGAGGGUCAUUGGAAACUGGGAAACUUGAGUGCAGAAGAGGAGAGUGGAAUUCCACGUGUAGCGGUGAAAUGCGUAGAGAUGUGGAGGAACACCAGUGGCGAAGGCGACUCUCUGGUCUGUAACUGACGCUGAGGAGCGAAAGCGUGGGGAGCGAACAGGAUUAGAUACCCUGGUAGUCCACGCCGUAAACGAUGAGUGCUAAGUGUUAGGGGGUUUCCGCCCCUUAGUGCUGCAGCUAACGCAUUAAGCAC
rnacentral:rRNA from 1 species